rnacentral:rRNA from 1 species
UACGGGGGGGCAAGCGUUGUUCGGAAUUACUGGGCGUAAAGGGCUCGUAGGCGGCCAACUAAGUCGGAUGUGAAAUCCCCAGGCUCAACUUGGGAACUGCAUCCGAUACUGGAUGGCUUGAAUUCGGGAGAGGGAUGCAGAAUUCCAGGUGUAGCGGUGAAAUGCGUAGAUAUCGGGAGGAAUACCUAUGGCGAAAGCAGGCUACUGGACCGUCACUGACUCUGAUCUGCGAAAGCUAGGGGAGCAAACAGG